CAGCCGCCAGGUAAAGGGGAGGGCUGCGGAGCGUGAAGUCCACUCGUCCUCGAAAGUUCCUUCCCUCUGCGGGAACCCAAACCUUUUCCCCUGCCGGGUGGGAGGAACGGGACGUCCUGCCACCUCCCCGCCGCCACCGCCCCUGAAGCGCGGAGCGCCCGGCACCGCCCCCAUCGGUCUUGGGACUACAUUUCCCAGCGGUCCUCGCGCGCCCCCCCAGCUUGGGCUCCUUAGCGGACACGGCACCGCGGGCGCGGCGAGGCGCGGGGGCUUCCGGGACUGGUAGUUUGGCGGGCGGCGCUCGCGCGCACUUGGGACGGGGUUUGAAUUCCGCUCAGCCUCAUUCAGCUCCGGGAGACCGCGGGCUGUGCGCGGAGUGGAGAGGCCUGUGCUGGACGGGGUAUUACAUCUCAGCACCGCAGAGGGCAGGGGGACCAUGGAGGCGAAGACCCAGCCACCUGACAAAGGAGUCCUGCCUUCUCAGAGCCCUACUUCUACUUCAGAGAAGCUCUCCAAAAAGAAGGGAAGAAUACCGGUCAGAUUCCUGCCGGCCUGGAGCACGGUAAGCCUUCUCCCUUUGACCAGAGGGCGCCUCAGCUCUGAGAGGUCGGGCACAUCUGCCACCCUCUCCGCCCUGCAGAGACCCUCGGGUGGCAGGUCACCCCUUGCACCCCACAAAAGGAUAUGGCCCCAUCCUGUGAGGGAUGAUUUUCCUGAGGAUGCUGCCUCUUUCCUGCCUUCUUCUCUUUCCUAAUUUCUACUUCUGCUGGAAUGUCGCCUCCUCCAGGAAGCCUCCGUGCUCACUUUCUCCUCGUCACUUCCUAACUCCUUGC
rnacentral:lncRNA from 1 species